CCUACGGGUGACAGCAGUGAGGAAUAUUGGUCAAUGGACGCAAGUCUGACCCAGCCAUGCCGCGUGCAGGAAGACGGCCCUCUGAGUUGUAAACUGCUUUUGUACGAGGGUAAACGCAGAUACGCGUAUCUGUCUGAAUGUAUCGUACGAAUAAGGAUCGGCUAACUCCGUGCCAGCCGCCGCGGUAAUACGGAGGAUGCAAGCGUUAUCCGGAUUUAUUUGGUUUAAAGGGUGCGUAGGCGGUCGGAUAAGUUAGAGGUGAAAUCCCGAGGCUCAACCUCGGAAUUGCCUUUGAUACUGGCAGGCUAGAGAGUAGUGGAGGUAGGCGGAAUGUAUGGUGUAGCGGUGAAAUGCUUAGAGAUCAUACAGAACACCGAUUGCGAAGGCAGCUUACCAAGCUACUUCUGACGUUGAGGCACGAAAGCGUGGGGAGCAAACAGGAUUAGAUACCCUUGUAGUC
rnacentral:rRNA from 1 species